AUACGAAACUCGAUAAUAUUUCGGACUAUGCGAAGCUGAGCAGGACUUCUGACGAUCAUGGAUAUUUAUGAUGAGAUCUUCACAGACCAUUGUGAGUCGACGAUAAUUUACGUUAUUGAGCAUCAUCGAUUGCUGAAAAAUAGAAGAAGAUUAGAAUCAAAUAAUGAUCCAUCAGAGCAACAUAUCUUGAACAAUCUUGGCAAUACCUUCCUCUUUUAUUGAUUAUAUUGAUUACUUUCUUCAUCAAUGAAUUGUCUUGACAUCUUUUUCCUAGAGACAUUUAAUAAAUACUAUAUUUCUCUCUCUCUUGAGUUAUAAAAUGAUACUUGUGUCUAUUUUAUCAUUUCUAACUAAUCUUUUCAUUGAAACUAGCACCUUUGGAACCUAUUCAAUUUUUAACCCAAGGUGCGCAUCAAAGAUUCAUUCAUCAAAAGUCAAUCAUUCUUAAUUGAUUUUGAAUAUCUAUUAUAUCAUUCUACUCUAACUGAGAUGAACAACCCUACCUAUAGGGGACACAAGGACUACCAGUCUGUGUGAUAGGAGUUGGAUGGGACGCCAUCACUUGUGUGUGUUGUACAUUACAAGAAGGUUAACUACCUUUAGUAGUGUCUUAAUUUAGNN
rnacentral:lncRNA from 1 species